ACAUAUAUGCGAGUAUUUGGGUGGAAAACCCUGAUGCGUAAUGAAAGUGAAGGCAACUUCGGUUGCUGAGGUAGGAACCUGGGUUUCGGCCUGGGGGCACUAUCGACCGAUCUACACUCGUGAUAGAUUUGAGUAAGAGCAUAUCUGUUGGGACCCGAAAGAUGGUGAUCUAUGCCUGAACAGGGUGAAGCCAGGGGAAACUCUGGUGGAGGCUCGAAGCGUUACUGACGUGCAAAUCGUUCGUCUGAUUUGGGUAUAGGGGCGAAAGACUAAUCGAACCAUCUAGUAGCUGGUUCCCUCCGAAGUUUCCCUCAGGAUAGCUGGAACUUGUGACAGUUUUAUCAGGUAAAGCUAAUGAUUAGAGGUACCCGGAUUGAAACAAUUUGGACCUAUUCUCAAACUUUAAAUAGGUAAGACGUCUUCGGUUACUUAAGUGAACCGGGACAUUGAAUGUGCGAGUUCUUAGUGGGCCAUUUUUGGUAAGCAGAACUGGCGAUGCGGGAUGAACCGGACGCGCGAGUUAAGGUGCCAAACUGUUCGCUCAUCCAGAUCCCACAAAAGGUGUUG
rnacentral:rRNA from 1 species